GAAACCAGCCAAGGCAAUGUGAUGGAUUCCAAGAGAGGCAAUAUGGAUGAAACCAUUUAUUAGAUUUAUAAGAGCUGGAGGAAAGUGGUAAAGCUAUCCAUCUUCUAUACUUUAUUGAGAACAGGACCAAUGACUCAGACUAUCAGGACAGUAUCUCCAAGACAGAAUUGAAAUCCUAAAGUAAGCGGAGAAUAAGUGCAUACAUUUUAGGAGAAGAGGGAUCAAAGGCAGAAGUAAGAAAUGCACGGGUGUCAGCUGUGACCCUCGAAGGAAAGGAAUCACCCUCUUUCUGACCCUAUACCACCUUCAGCAGGGAUGAAGGCAGUGAGAGAAAAGUGAGUUAAAAAAUUUCUAAAAUGCUUUGCAGAUUUGAUCUGGGGCCUUGGAGUGCCAGCAUCCUGUGAUAGUGGCUGAUUGUUGAUGCCUGGGAGGAUAGAGCAGUGAUGAUCCAAAUUUACAAGACUCAUAAUGAUUUUCAAAACCUCCUUUUAAAAAAGAUGUUCCUGAGUUCUGGAAUCUGAAUGAAAUAUGUCUGGUUAUUAUAUAAUUCUAAUGAUCCUUGUGGAUGCUACUAUUAGAGUUCAGUUAGUAUCUCAUCUAUCAGUGUAAUAUUUGUGUUGUAAUACUAAUCAUGGCAAAGUAUGAUUUGAUAAAUGCUCAUUCUCAAAUCUUUUAUUUUAGUGUGUUCAUGUAAGAUUAAUGACCAUGAUGACUUGAGAUAGAA